CGACCGGCGCACGGGUGCGUAACGCGUAUGCAACCUACCUUUAACAGGGGGAGUAACACUGAGAAAUUGGUACUAAUACCCCAUAAUAUCAUAGAAGGCAUCUUUAUGGUUGAAAUUCCGAUGGUUAGAGAUGGGCAUGCGUUGUAUUAGCUAGUUGGUGGGGUAACGGCUCACCAAGGCGACGAUACAUAGGGGGACUGAGAGGUUAACCCCCCACACUGGUACUGAGACACGGACCAG
rnacentral:rRNA from 1 species